rnacentral:rRNA from 1 species
CACGAGCGCACCCUUAUCUUCAGUUGCUACCAUUUAGUUGAGCACUCUGACGAAACCGCCUCGGAUAACGGGGAGGAAGGUGGGGAUGACGUCAAGUCCUCAUGGCCUUUAUGUCCAGGGCUACACACGUGCUACAAUGGCCGGUACAAACCGCUGCAACCCCGCGAGGGUGAGCUAAUCGGAAAAAGCCGGCCUCAGUUCGGAUUGGAGUCUGCAACUCGACUCCAUGAAGCUGGAAUCGCUAGUAAUCGUGGAUCAGCAUGCCACGGUGAAUACGUUCCCGGGCCUUGCACACACCGCCCGU